AGUGGCGAACGGGUGAGUAAUACAUCGGAACGUGCCCUGUAGUGGGGGAUAACUAGUCGAAAGAUUAGCUAAUACCGCAUACGACCUGAGGGUGAAAGUGGGGGACCGCAAGGCCUCAUGCUAUAGGAGCGGCCGAUGUCUGAUUAGCUAGUUGGUGGGGUAAAGGCCCACCAAGGCGACGAUCAGUAGCUGGUCUGAGAGGACGAUCAGCCACACUGGGACUGAGACACGGCCCAGACUCCUACGGGAGGCAGCAGUGGGGAAUUUUGGACAAUGGGCGAAAGCCUGAUCCAGCAAUGCCGCGUGUGUGAAGAAGGCCUUCGGGUUGUAAAGCACUUUUGUCCGGAAAGAAAUGGCUCUGGUUAAUACCUGGGGUCGAUGACGGUACCGGAAGAAUAAGGACCGGCUAACUACGUGCCAGCAGCCGCGGUAAUACGUAGGGUCCAAGCGUUAAUCGGAAUUACUGGGCGUAAAGCGUGCGCAGGCGGUUGUGCAAGACCGAUGUGAAAUCCCCGAGCUUAACUUGGGAAUUGCAUUGGUGACUGCACGGCUAGAGUGUGUCAGAGGGGGGUAGAAUUCCACGUGUAGCAGUGAAAUGCGUAGAGAUGUGGAGGAAUACCGAUGGCGAAGGCAGCCCCCUGGGAUAACACUGACGCUCAUGCACGAAAGCGUGGGGAGCAAACAGGAUUAGAUACCCUGGUAGUCCACGCCCUAAACGAUGUCAACUAGUUGUUGGGGAUUCAUUUCCUUAGUAACGUAGCUAACGCGUGAAGUUGACCGCCUGGGGAGUACGGUCGCAAGAUUAAAACUCAAAGGAAUUGACGGGGACCCGCACAAGCGGUG
rnacentral:rRNA from 1 species